rnacentral:rRNA from 1 species
AUUGAACGCUGGCGGAAUGCUUUACACAUGCAAGUCGAACGGUAACAGGUCUUCGGAUGCUGACGAGUGGCGAACGGGUGAGUAAUAUAUCGGAACGUGCCCAGUCGUGGGGGAUAACGUAGCGAAAGUUACGCUAAUACCGCAUACGAUCUAUGGAUGAAAGCGGGGGAUCGCAAGACCUCGCGCGAUUGGAGUGGCCGAUAUCAGAUUAGGUAGUUGGUGGGGUAAAGGCUCACCAAGCCAACGAUCUGUAGCUGGUCUGAGAGGACGACCAGCCACACUGGAACUGAGACACGGUCCAGACUCCUACGGGAGGCAGCAGUGGGGAAUGUUGGACAAUGGACGCAAGUCUGAUCCAGCCAUUCCGCGUGCAGGAUGAAGGCCCUCGGGUUGUAAACUGCUUUUGUACGGAACGAAAAGGUCUCUAUUAAUACUAGGGGCUCAUGACGGUACCGUAAGAAUAAGCACCGGCUAACUACGUGCCAGCCGCCGCCGUAAGAC